rnacentral:rRNA from 1 species
AUUGAACGCUGGCGGCAUGCCUUACACAUGCAAGUCGAACGGUAACAGGUCUUCGGAUGCAGACGAGUGGCGAACGGGUGAGUAAUACAUCGGAACGUGCCCGAGAGUGGGGGAUAACGAGGCGAAAGCUUUCCUAAUACCGCCUAAGAUCUCAGGAUGAAAGCAGGGGACCGCAAGGCCUUGCGCUCACGGAGCGGCCGAUGGCAGAUUAGGUAGUUGGUGGGAUAAAAGCUUACCAAGCGGACGAUCUGUAGCUGGUCUGAGAGGACGACCAGCCACGCUGGGACUGAGACACGGCCCAGACUCCUACGGGAGGCAGCAGUGGGGAAUUUUGGACGAUGGGCGCAAGCCUGAUCCAGCCAUGCCGCGUGCAGGAUGAAGGCCCUCGGGUUGUAAACUGCUUUUGUACGGAACGAAAAGACUCUGGUUAAUGCCUGGGGACCAUGACGGUACCGUAAGAAUAAGCACCGGCUAACUACGUGCCAGCCGCCGCGGUAAUAC